UACAGAGGUCCCAAGCGUUGUUCGGAUUCAUUGGGCGUAAAGGGUGCGUAGGCGGCGCGGUAAGUCGGGUGUGAAAUCUCGGGGCUUAAACUCCGAAACUGCAUUCGAUACUGCCGUGCUUGAGGACUGGAGAGGAGACUGGAAUUUACGGUGUAGCGGUGAAAUGCGUAGAUAUCGUAAGGAAGACCAGUGGCGAAGGCGGGUCUCUGGACAGUUCCUGACGCUGAGGCACGAAGGCCAGGGAGCAAACGGG
rnacentral:rRNA from 1 species